GAUGAACGCUGGCUGCGUGCCUAAUACAUGCAAGUCGAGCGGAGCGGGGACGGGUGAGUAACACGCUGAUAACCUCCUAUAAGACUGGGAUAACUUCGGGAAACCGGAGCUAAACCGGAUACUUAUCGAUGGAUCCGCGCGGCACUAGCUAGUUGGUAAGGUAACGGCUUACCAAGGCAACGGUGCAUAGCCGACCUGAGAGGGUGAUAAGCCACACGGGAACUGAAACAUGGGCAAGACUCCUACAGAAGGCAGCAGUAGGGAAUCUUUCGCAAUGGGCGAAAGCCUGACAGAUCCAAGCCGCGUGCGUGAUGAAAGUAUUCUAAUCGUAAACCUCUGUUGUUAGAGAAGUGGUAUCCAACCAGAAAGCCAUGGCUAACUACGUGCCAGCCGCCGCGGUAAUAC
rnacentral:rRNA from 1 species